CAGAGUUCGUGCCCUUCGGGGUAGACCUCCCACCCUUUGUAUAUAUACUAUUGUUGCUUCGGCGGCUCGCCGCAAGGCCCUCGGCUUCGGCUGGGGCGUGGCCGCCGGAGGACCCCAAACCCUGAAUUACAGUGUCGUCCGAGUACUAUAUAAUAGUUAAAACUUUCAACAACGGAUCUCUUGGUUCUGGCAUCGAUGAAGAACGCAGCGAAAUGCGAUAAGUAAUGUGAAUUGCAGAAUUCAGUGAAUCAUCGAAUCUUUGAACGCACAUUGCGCCCCUUGGUAUUCCGGGGGGCAUGCCUCUUCCAGCGUCAUUUCACCCCUCAAGCUCUGCUUGGUCUUGGGCCACGCCGCGC
rnacentral:misc_RNA from 1 species